rnacentral:rRNA from 1 species
CAGCCGCCGCGGGAAAACGAAGGGUGCAAGCGUUAAUCGGAAUUACUGGGCGUAAAGCGCGCGUAGGUGGUUUGGUAAGAUGGAUGUGAAAUCCCCGGGCUCAACCUGGGAACUGCAUCCAUAACUGCCUGACUAGAGUACGGUAGAGGGUGGUGGAAUUUCCUGUGUAGCGGUGAAAUGCGUAGAUAUAGGAAGGAACACCAGUGGCGAAGGCGACCACCUGGACUGAUACUGACACUGAGGUGCGAAAGCGUGGGGAGCAAACAGGAUUAGAUACCCCUGUAGUCCCUGUCUCUUAUAC